rnacentral:rRNA from 1 species
GAUCCUGGCUCAGGAUGAACGCUAGCGACAGGCCUAACACAUGCAAGUCGAGGGGCAGCGAAGAGGUAGCAAUACCUCUGUCGGCGACCGGCGCACGGGUGAGUAACACGUAUGCAAUCCACCUGUAACAGGGGGAUAACCCGGAGAAAUCCGGACUAAUACCCCAUAAUGUGGGCGCUCCGCAUGGAGAGCCCAUUAAAGAGAGCAAUUUUGGUUACAGACGAGCAUGCGCUCCA